rnacentral:rRNA from 1 species
GACGUAGGGCGCGAGCGUUGUCCGGAUUUAUUGGGCGUAAAGAGCUCGUAGGCGGCUUGUCGCGUCGAAUGUGAAAACCCGGGGCUCAACCCCGGGCCUGCAGUCGAUACGGGCAGGCUAGAGUCCGGCAGGGGAGACUGGAAUUCCUGGUGUAGCGGUGAAAUGCGCAGAUAUCAGGAGGAACACCGGUGGCGAAGGCGGGUCUCUGGGCCGAUACUGACGCUGAGGAGCGAAAGCGUGGGGAGCGAACAGG